GAGUUUGAUCAUGGCUCAGGAUGAACGCUAGCUACAGGCUUAACACAUGCAAGUCGAGGGGCAUCAGUUUGGUUUGCUUGCAAACCAAAGCUGGCGACCGGCGCACGGGUGAGUAACACGUAUCCAACCUGCCUCAUACUCGGGGAUAGCCUUUCGAAAGAAAGAUUAAUAUCCGAUGGUAUAUUAAAACCGCAUGGUUUUACUAUUAAAGAAUUUCGGUUAUCGAUGGGGAUGCGUUCCAUUAGUUUGUUGGCGGGGUAACGCCCACCAAGACAACGAUGGAUAGGGGUUCUGAGAGGAAGGUCCCCCACAUUGGAACUGAGACACGGUCCAAACUCCUACGGGAGGCAGCAGUGAGGAAUAUUGGUCAAUGGACGAGAGUCUGAACCAGCCAAGUAGCGUGAA
rnacentral:rRNA from 1 species